AUUGAACGCUGGCGGCAGGCUUAACACAUGCAAGUCGAGCGAGCGGCGGACGGGUGAGUAAUGUCUGGGAAACUGCCUGAUGGAGGGGGAUCACUACUGGCAACGGUAGCUAAUACCGCAUACCAUCAUAUGUGCACAGAUGGGAUUAGUUAGUAGGUGGGGUACUGGCUCACCUAAGAGACGAUCCCUAGCCGGUCUGAGAGUAUGACCAUGCACACUGGAACUUAGACACGGUCCCGACUCAUACGGAAGGCAGCAGUGGGGAAUAUUGCAAAAUGGGCGCAAGCCUGAUGCAGCCAUGCCGCGUGUGUGAAGAAGGCCUUCAGGUUGUAGAGUACUUUCAGCGAGGAGGCGUGACUCGCAGAAGAAGCACCGGCUAACUCCGUGCCAGCAGCCGCGGUAAUAC
rnacentral:rRNA from 1 species